AGCGAACGCUGGCGGCAGGCCUAACACAUGCAAGUCGAGCGCCCCGCAAGGGGAGCGGCAGACGGGAGAGUAACACGUGGGAACGUACCCUUCAGUUCGGAACAACCAAGGGAAACUUUGGCUAAUACCGAAUACGUCCGUAAGGAGAAAGAUUUAUCGCUGAAGGAUCGGCCCGCGUCUGAUUAGCUAGUUGGUGGGGUAAUGGCCCACCAAGGCGACGAUCAGUAGCUGGUCUGAGAGGAUGAUCAGCCUCACUGGGACUGAGACACGGCCCAGACUCCUACGGGAGGCAGCAGUGGGGAAUAUUGGACAAUGGGCGCAAGCCUGAUCCAGCCAUGCCGCGUGGAUGAUGAAGGCCCUAGGGUUGUAAAGUCCUUUCGGCGGGGAAGAUAAUGACGGUACCCGCAGAAGAAGCCCCGGCUAACUUCGUGCCAGCCGCCGCGGUAAUAC
rnacentral:rRNA from 1 species